GUGAUUAAAUCGAGCGUGUCUUCAUUGACCGCUCACCCUUCUCACCAUCCACAUACACCUGUGCACUGCUUAGCCUGAGCCGGUUUUCCGGUCCAGGUUAUCAUUUCAUACAAACUCUAGUCUUAUGAAUGUAAACGUUUUAGUAACAUAAUA
rnacentral:misc_RNA from 1 species